UAGUCAUAUGCUUGUCUCAAAGAUUAAGCCAUGCAUGUGUAAGAUCGGCAUAGUCUUGGCUUCGGUCAAGAACAAUGUUAAUCUGUGAAAGGCUCAUUAAACAAGUUAUGAAUUUAGCCACCUGGUUCCGUCGCAAGACGUUGGAAUAACACUGUCAACUGCAGCGAUAAUGCCUGAAAAACGUGUGAAUUUAGUAGCACAAAUACUAGAGUAUGGAUGAGUCCACUCUAUUCAGGAGGGGUUUUCCCUCUGUUGACCAUCGAGUUCGAGGGUUGAUGCUUAGGCUUCGGCUUCUGUUGAAAGCUUUAUCGGUGGCCGGGAAGAUAUGUUUCUAAUCUAUUAGCCAGACUAUUGGGUAAGGUCCAAUUUUCGGCGAUAAUGGAUACAGGGGAUCGGUGUCCGACUCUGGAGAGAGAGCCUGAGAAACGGCUAUCACAUCUAAGGACGGCAGCAGGCGCGUAAAUUACCCAAUCCUAAUUCAGGGAGGUAGUGACAAGACGUAGCGACUUUGCACCAAAUGGUGUGAAGGUACCACUUAGUGGUUUGAAAUGGAUGGAGACUAAAGCUCUCCUUGAGUAGCAAUU
rnacentral:rRNA from 1 species